rnacentral:tRNA from 1 species
GUCUAGGUAGUUAAACGAAUAACGGGACUCUGAAGAGGUCUUAUUGGAGUGUUAAAUUCCUCCCCUUGGCA